CCAAUUAAUUUCCAACUGUGGUAUAUCUGUGACCUGAUGAUGUGGGGCUCUUUUUAAGUCGAGGCCUGUUUCAGUCUAACCAACUGGAAUUCACAUGAUGCAGGGUGCAUAAAUAUUAAUUUGUUGUUUAUUGCCAGGUCUCUAGAAUGUUUCUUAGUUUACAGAAAUGUUUUGUAAGUUGACAUCUCUGUGGGAGGAAGUUCUGAUGUUCGUUUUCCUGCUUGCGAGUGUUCAUAAAAGUGCAAGUUGUGGUGACCCAAAUUAACCUGCAUCAGACUCACAAGAGUGAAGUGUGUCGAUAACCCUUCUGCUGGCUACAAUGCUGCUUUAUCAAGUCACCUGCCAAAUACCUCGCAAUUCAAUCUGCCCUUUUCUCACAUCAUCACAAACUGUUGUCCACAUAGAAAAAAUCAAAAGUUACACGGUUCAAAAAGUAGGCCUCUGCCCUAUUGAUACCAUUCAGUGAGUUCUCUUUUUUCUUAUGGAAGUAUACUGUGAUAGACCUCAGACAACUAUUAAACUAUAUUUAAUGAUAAAUCUGAACUAUAUGUCAGAAUGCCAGUUCUUCUGGCCUUAGUGUAUUUUGUUGCAUUGUCAUGUUAAGUUGUUAGUUUUAUGUAUUUACAGAUUUAUAACAGUUAGUAGUCAUUCCUUUUUCUCAAAUCCACAAAAACUUUGGGUGAAAAAAGCCAUGCAUUUUGUGGAUGAGAUGGAGGCAUUUGAAAAGACAGCAUGCUUCAUAAACUCCACAUCAACAUUUAAAACAGGAUCAACACUGAAUACAACAUCAGACUGGAAUGGACAGGAUGAACUAAGAACUACUUCACCUGAACUAUUUCAAUUUGCUAACACAAGUCUGUCUGACUGUCAUACCAUAUUGAUGCCAUUGAAUUUAAAACAGCUAACAGUUAAAUUUUUUGCUAUAAACCACAAAAACUUUGGGUGAAAAGAGCCAUGCAAUUUGUGUACAAAAAGGCAAAUGAAACGACAUGAACUCCACAUCAGCAUUUAAAACAGCAUCAGUGCAAAAUACAACAUCACACUGGAAUGGGCAGGAUGAACUAAGAAGUGUUUCACUUGUUAAAAUUUGUCUGCAUUUGUAAUCAUUUAUUUGCCACUGGUCAAUUUACAGUAUAUUGCAUAAAUGUAUAUAUCUUUUCACUGUUUAUUGUGUGGGUUUGCCCAUUUUUACUGCUUCCAAAACAUGAAAUUGUGGCUAAUUAGUAUAAUGUUACAAUGCUUUGUCAAUGCAAAGCCUUCUUUUUAUGCCAAUUAACUAUUUUAGUUUGCAAAAAACAAAGAAAUAAUAACAACAACAACAACAAAACAUUGAAUUUGAGUCUAAAAGUCAACUAAUAUCAACUUCUUGUUUAUUAAAAUUGUACACAAUUGAUAUUACACUUGCAAUCAUGCUGAUAUUCUGGAAAAAACAGCACCCUCGCUUAUGUGAUAUUGUGUAACUAUAUUGUAUGUUAUAAAUAAAGAUAACAAAAACUCAUACAUUGUCAUGUUGAUCCCCUUUCUUGAAUUUUAAGGAUGUUUUUAAUAAUUUUGGUGCUAUUUCCCUACCAUUAAUUUCUGACCCUGGUGUGUGUGUGGCGUGAUGAUGUUAUUUAAGUAAAAUGGGUGAAACAUAGUGCAGCUAUGUAAAUAUAUCUAUAAAUCUAACCCAGGGCAUUCGCAUGAUGCAAAGUGCAGAAAUGGUGAUUAUUAUCAAUUGUUGUUUAUUGCCAGGUUUAUAGAAUGUUUCUUUAUUUAACAUACAGGAAGGUUUUGUAAAGGUCACAUCUGUGGAAGGAAGUUCUGAUGUUCUUUUUCCUACUUGUGAGUGUUCAUAAAAGUACAGGUUGUGGUGAGUCAAAUUAAUGCAUAUCAGACUUACAAGAGAAGAUGAGCUGUGUGUUGAAAACCCUUCUGCUGUGCCUGGCUAUAAUACUACUUGCAAA